AUAAAUGCUGGCUUGAUUAGCAUUUUGCGGAAAGAGUAAAAAAAAUGUGUUGUAAUAUACUGUUUCAAUAUCUUAGAGAAACCAAUUUAAGUGGAAGGAUAUAGUUUUUUUUAAACAAUGCUUAUACACAACAUUCUGGUCCACACUCACACCAGAUGGUGGCGGUAAUGCACCAAAAAGUUGUUUGCCAACCGCCAAUAAACCUUAGUAGAAGAAGAAGACAUCAAGAAGAUCGAGGCAGACGGACUGCACGCUGUUAAAACUUCACCGAGAUCGGUGUUGGACCGGCGAACACUUAGGCCUAUGUUAUCAGAGGACUUGCUAACAUAAAGAAAACGGUCCAGAGGUUCCACCUGAGAGCCGGGACUGUCGAAUAGUAAGAGACAUCGAAAAGGGGGGAACUGUCUUUAAGACGCAUUUACCUCAAAAACGGCAUUGCAGAAGACUCGAACAACUAGAACCAACUCAAGCACACAACGGUGACACACAUUUGUAAGACCUUUCCCUGUGAUAUAAAAUUUCCCUGUGGUAAUUAUUCAGAUUCUUCUCAUUCUCAUUGUGUAGCACUGUUUUAAGCUUAGUGAAUAUUAUGUACAGUAAGCACUAGAAGUAGAGACUUGUACUACUUGGGGUAGUUUUAAAUUAACUUUAAUUUUGCUUUUGAUGCAAAAAUUAUCAAAAGAAAAGAUGUAGUGUAGUAAAAGAUGUUUUGUGUAGUAAUUCAAUUGUUUUAAUAUGAAUAUUGUUUUAGUAGUGUUCAGGACAGUAAUUGUCUGUACAUCUAAAUCAGUUCUUUAAACUUUUUGUUGUCUAAGACCUUGAUAUUAUACCUUAAGGGAAAAAGAAAGAUAUUUAAUUAUGUAUUAUGUACCCAGACAGCAAGGAGUGUCGGCCCAGAUCCAGUCCACAUC